CUGUCCAUAGAACACUUGGUGUAAAAACCCAAGAAAUUGCAUGAUCUAACAUCAUCUCAUGCGUUUGAGUAGUUAGGGUUUGGAUCUUUCUUGUUCUUCAUGCAAUUGGCAAUUGUUUUGAUGCCUAUGGCCCAAGGACAUUCCUUGGCAAUUUGUUGAUUAGUAAUUGAUUAGAGGACGUUCCCUAAUCAAUUUGUUCAUAAGGAAAGACAUGGUGGUGAGAAGCGUCUUCCACCCCCAUAACCAACCUAUUGAAUCAAUCAAGAUAACCAUGUUUCAAUGAUCAACCCAAACAACCAAAGUGGAUCC
rnacentral:lncRNA from 1 species